AGUGAACGCUGGCGGUAGGCCUAACACAUGCAAGUCGAACGGCAGCACAGUAAGAGCUUGCUCUUACGGGUGGCGAGUGGCGGACGGGUGAGGAAUACAUCGGAGUCUACUUUUUCGUGGGGGAUAACGUAGGGAAACUUACGCUAAUACCGCAUACGACCUACGGGUGAAAGCAGGGGAUCUUCGGACCUUGCGCGAUUGAAUGAGCCGAUGUCGGAUUAGCUAGUUGGCGGGGUAAAGGCCCACCAAGGCGACGAUCCGUAGCUGGUCUGAGAGGAUGAUCAGCCACACUGGAACUGAGACACGGUCCAGACUCCUACGGGAGGCAGCAGUGGGGAAUAUUGGACAAUGGGCGCAAGCCUGAUCCAGCCAUACCGCGUGGGUGAAGAAGGCCUUCGGGUUGUAAAGCCCUUUUGCUGGGAAAGAAAAGCAGCAGGUUAAUACCCCGCUGUUCUGACGGUACCCAAAGAAUAAGCACCGGCUAACUUCGUG
rnacentral:rRNA from 1 species